GUGAGGGGGUGACUAGUGGCAGAGUGAGGGAAGGAAGGAGUGACUAGUGACAGAGUGAGGGAGGUGGUGACUGUCACUAGUCAUCACCUCCCUCACUCUGUCACUAGUCACCACCUCCCUCUGUCACUACUCCCUCCCUCCUUCUGUCACUACUCCCUCCCUUCUUCUGUCACUAGUCACCCCCUCCCUCACUCUGUCACCAGUCAUCCCCUCCCUCAC